UACUUUACGUUGAGGGUUUCAAGAAUCUAUUUUAAGAUGAGUUUUGCAUCAGCUGUCAUUGUGGGACUCGCUACCUUUCUAGCAUUCGUUGAUUUCACGAUUGCAAAGCCUGAACCUGAACCAAGUAGUGGACAUAAUGCCUCAUAAUCUCUUCUCUUCUUAAUAUAAGGAUAAAUGUCUCUUGGAUCUUACGCAAUAGAAACUGCACUUGUGUUAUGAUCAAGAGAAAUAAAACUGUAUAAGCUUUAAAAA